rnacentral:rRNA from 1 species
CCAAAAACAUCUCUCUUUGUAUAAUAUAAAUAAAGAGUUGGGCCUGCUCGGUGAAACGUUUUAACAGCUGCGGUAUUUUAACUGUACUAAGGUAGCAUAAUAAUUUGCCUUAUAAUUUGAGGCUAGAAUGAAUGGUUUGACGAAGGUUAAUCUGUCUCUGCUUUAUUUUUUAGAAAUUAAUUUUCAUAGUGAAAAAGCUUGAAUUUCUUAAGGGGACGAGAAGACCCUACUGAGCUUAUAAUUUUAUUAUCACAUAUAUUUAUGUAUAAUGUGCUAUAUAAAUUUUAAUUGGGGUGAUUAAGGAAUAAUAUAGCUAUUUUAUAACUUCCUUAGAUAUUAUAUUGUUGAAUUAAGUAACCGAUUAAUUAAUAGAAUUGUAUUAUGUAUUGCUUAUAAUAUAGUUACCAUAGGGAUAACAGCGUAAUUUACUUAGAGAGUUCUUAUUGAAAAGUAAGAUUGCGACCUCGAUGUUGGAUUAAAGUGACCUUAAGGUGCUAU